UUGGGCUCUCUUUGUACUCUGUGUGGCAGGAGAUUUUGUCAUUUGGGUUUAACCAAAAGAUUCUAAUUUUAAUUGAAAGUCUUUCUCGCCAUGCUAAGCAGUCCCCUGAAGCGCUCCUGAGCUCUGGAUGGUCUCGUCUGGAUGGGAAGAAAGGUUUGCCCUUAACUCAAGCUAAAACCUCAUGGAGACAAGGGCUGCUGUCAGAGGGAGGCUCUAACCCAGCAGGCUGCUGAAAGGACCCACAGGCCAGUGAUCAGGGGCUCGGCUCAGCGCGAAGGCAGGACAAUGGCCAGGGACAAUAUCUAUGAGAACAUGCCGAUGACGGAAGCUGCUCCCCAGCCCAAAGGAAACCCUCCUGAGACAUCGGUCCUUUGGCGGCACAGGGCACGGGGAAUCAUCGUCACUGCUGUCCUUCUCCUCCUGGGUCUGGCCCUGGCCACGUCCCUCCUUGCUGUGAUACUUCUAGGU